rnacentral:rRNA from 1 species
GACGAACGCUGGCGGCGUGGAUUAGGCAUGCAAGUCGAACGGUAUGGACCUUUCGGGGUUCAGAGAGUGGCGAACGGGUGAGUAACACGUAGGUAAUCUACCCUCAAGACGGGGACAACCCAGGGAAACUUGGGCUAAUACCGGAUGUGUGUAGUGGCUAUUUUUCUGAUUAUCAUUAUUUACGUAAGUGAGUAAUAAUAAGAAGGGAAAGUGGUUAUUACAUAAAAGGUGGCGUAAGCUGCCGCUUGGGGAUGAGCCUGCGUCCUAUUAGUUAGUUGGUGAGGUAACGGCUUACCAAGGCGAUGAUAGGUAGGCGGCCUUAACGGGUGGUCGCCCACACUGGGAUUGAGAUACGGCCCAGACUCCUACGGGAGGCAGCAGUCGAGAAUAGUCUACAAUGGACGGAAGUCUGAUAGUGCGACGCCGCGUGAACGAUGAAUCCCUUCGGGGUGUAAAGUUCUUUUAUAUGUGAGCAGUGCUUCUUAUAUUAACAGUAUGGGGAGAGAGAUAUUAGCAUA